GCAAGGUUGUCACAACUCAUAAACCGUGUCAUCGGCAGAUUCAGGGUUUUGUAAAGGGAGACUACCAAGGAGAAAACUAGUGUCAAAGUGUCAGAUUGAAACAGACAGGGCUCGAACCGCUGACCUGCUGAUUACGGACAUUAUUUUGACUUAACACUAUACCUGGCCUCCAGUGGUGAUAAACAUUUGAUGUAGACGCCUGCCCCUGGGUCAGCCAUGCCACGCCAGUCGAAUGCAUGUACGCUAACAGAUUUUGAUGUCUGUCACCAGGAAGAGAAGAAAAGAACAGUUUUUUGUUGCCAUCUAUCUUUGUCUUUCGGAACCAAAGCUAAUAAAGUUUGCAUAUUUAUGUA